rnacentral:lncRNA from 1 species
GAAGCCGGGCGUGGUGGUGCAGGCUUUUAAUCCCAGCUCUCGAGAAGCAGAGGCAGGCGGAUUUCUGAUUUCGAAGCCAGCCUGGUCUACAAAGUGAGUUCCAGGACAGCCUGGGCUACACAGAGAAACCCUGUCUUGAACCAACCCCCCCCCCCCAAACAAACAAACAAACCUGAAGGAAGCUUGAGCAACACAGCAAAACCUGCAAAAUUUGUUUUUAAAGAGAUUUAUUUAUUUUUAUAAACUUUGCUCUUGUCAUUUUCCCUAAACAAUAUAAUUUGUCAACUAUUUGCACAUCACCCGCACUGUUUUAGGUAGAAUCAGAAAUGAUCGCAGUGUUGAGAACAACGUGUGUAGGUAGUUUGUAAAUAUACAUCUCUGUUCCUGAGGGACUUUGGUGCCCACAGAUUUUGUUAUCCAUGUGGUUUGGGGGGAUCCUGGAACUAGACUAUCAUAGAUGGAGAGACAACCAUAUUUGCUGUGCUACUUCCCUCUGGGGAAACUGAGGUAUAGGGAGACCCGCUGACUCCUGGGGCUAACAUGAAAGUAGAGGGUCCCUGAACAUCAGGCCCAGGGUUCUGACUCAUGUGCCUCAGUUUGCCCAUAGAUUUUCUUUUUCUUAUUUUUAAGAUUUAUUUAUUUAUUAUAUGUAAGUACACUGUAGCUGUCUUCAGGCACCCCAGAAGAGGGCAUCAGAUCUCAUUACAGAUGGUUGUGAACCACCAUGUGGUUGCUGGGAUUUGAACUCAGGACCUUUGGAAGAGCAGUCAGUGCUCUUAACCACUGAGCCAUCUCUCCAGCCCAUUGUUGUUUUUAAAGAUAUAUUUUUUAGAUUUUAAUGUGUGUGAGUGAGAUUUAUUAGCCGGGCGUGGUGGCCGCACGCCUUUAAUUCCAGCACUCGUGAGACAGAGGCAGGCAGAUUUCUGAGUUCGAGGCCAGCCUGGUCUACAAAGUGAGUUCCAGGACAGCCAGGGCUAUACGGAGAAACCCUGUCUUAAAAAACCAAAAAAGAAAAAAAAAAAAAAGAGAGAGAGAGAUUUAUUGCAGGGCACGCCUUUAAUCCUAGGAUUUGGGAGGCAGAUGCAGGCCGAUCUCUGAGCUCUGAUCUACAGAACUAGUUCCAGGACAGCCAGGAGUACACAAAGAAAACAGUUUUUCUAUUAUAUUUUUAAUUUUGUGUAUAUGUAUGUGCAUGAGCACUGGUUGGGCCAGAGAGCAGAGAUGUGGGUUUCCCUUGGGACUGGAAUUACAGUGGACAUGUGUGGCAAGGAACUGAACUCUGGUCCUCUGCAUGACCAGUUCAUGCUCAGCUCCUAAUCUAUCUCUCUCACCCAUCAAACAUCGUUAAAAUACACUUUUUAAAGAGACAUUUCAAUGAUUAAAAUAAUUUUUCAAGCAGUAACAUAAUUGUGCCUAUACCUUUAAUUCCAGUAGUAGGGAGCCAGAGGCAGGUAGAUCUCUGAGGUCAAGGACAGCCUGGUCUUCUAUAAAGCAAGUUCCAGGACAGCCAGGCCUACACAGAGAAAUCGUGUCUUGAAAAACAAAACAGCAGGCGGGGAGUGGUGGCGAAUGCCUUUAAUCCCAGCAUUUGGAAGGCAGAGACAGGUGGAUUUCUGAGUUUGAGGCCAGCCUGGUCUACAAAGUGAGUUCCAGGACAGCCCUAAAAAAAAAAAAGAAAGAAAGAAAGAAAGAAAGAAAGAAAGAAAGAAAGAAAGGAAGGAAGGAAGGAAGGAAGGAAGGAAGGAAGGAAGGAAGAAAGAAAGAAAGAAAGAAAGAAAGAAAGAAAGAAAGAAAGAAAGAAAGAAAGAAAGAAAAGACCAACAAAACCAAAGGGGAAGGGUGUUGUGUCAAUAUUUUAUGAGGAGCUGUGACUAUACUGAGCAAAUUCUUCCCUAGCUCUAAAUACCACUGUAUAAAUUUGUUAAUGUGUUUAUGUGUAAAUGCACAGAGAUAUAAUCCUAAUUAUUAAUGGUUUCUAUAAUAAGAGACUAUUAUCCUUCUGGUUAGUUUCUGGUACAGAAUAUAAGACCCACCAACAAAGGAAGUCAUUAUAAGCAUUGUGGGAGGGGCGUGUCUGGCCCAGUGGUUUCUGCUAGCUACACUGAUGUGUUGCUAUAAAUGAUAUGAUUUUCAGUGUUCAUGAUUUCAAAAUAUCGCAUAAUUACCAUUCAGCACAUUGGGGUGGGAGAUGCUUUUGUAUUAAUUCAUUAUCACUUGACUCAGGUCAUGAAUUUAUAAUAAGCCACAGCUUUUUGUUUCUUUUCAAAACAAGAAAAAUAUCAAGUAUGGAAGGUUAUAAAAUAUAAUACUAGGUGUGAGAAUUAGGUUUUUACGUUCCAAAAAAAAAAAAAAAGUCAGGAUGGUCACUUUCAUCACUCCAAGAGUAACAGCCAUAGGUAAAAUACUAUCUCUAAUGCUUGUGAAUUGCUAGAAAAAUCUGAACAGUAAAGAACUUUUCAACAGAAACUAUAGCAUUGAUGGGUGCAUUGGCACAUUCAGUACUCAGGAGGCUAACACAGGAAGAUCAGGAGUUCUAGGAUAGCCUAAGCUACCUCACCAGACUUAAAAAGAAAGGAAGAGAGAAAAGAAAUGAGGGAGGGAUGAAGGAAAAAUGAAAAGAACUAAAUUAUAUACUCAGUUUUGUGCCUGGUUAAAACAAAACAAAACAAAACAAAACAAAACAAACAAAGAAACAGGCUGAAUAUAAAUUCAACAACCACUAAACCUUUGUGGAAUGAGGUAGGGUUAAAAUCCAAAGACCAGAAGCAUAAUCAGCUCAAUGCCCAGAUGACCUCUCAUUUCCUAUGGUACAAUGUUAACUUUACUGCUACUAUAAGGAACAGAAUUCAGAAUAAAACCAAUUCUAAGAAGGAAUUAUCUUUGAUGCAAUAUUCUAGGAGGAUAGUAUCCAUUUACACUCAGGGUAUAGUCAGAAAUGACACAUGAAAUAAAAGUAGCUUGGAUCAUGCAUAUAUUUAAUAGUAAAACGGUCAUUAACAAUAAAAAUUAGAAAAUUUGGUGAGACCUCAGUGCUGUGAAAGAAAAUGAGACAAGUAAAAAAGACAGCAAGUGUCCCAGGAGGUGAUGCCAGGAGUCAGCAGAGGCAAACUGGGCUGACAGUUACAGAGUCUACGGAACGGGUAAAAACGUCCCUAUGUAUCUGAGUCUUGGAAGCAGGCAUUCUUACUGUAGACUGCACAGAAUGGAGGCAGUUACAGUGAGGCAGGACAGAAGAGCAAUGAGAAAUCAGGAUAAGGAGAUGGGGAAACCAGGAUACAAUUACAUAGAGAUGACUCUAAGGCCUUUUGUUUCUUCUAAACUCUUAAGUUUUAAAGCAUGUCACUUAAUUCCAGAUGGUGAGUUGCAGAGUACAGUAAGGGAACGGUGGGAUGGACUGGGAUGACAGGUGCCUGCUCUCAGAGAGCUUACAGCCUAUGUGAGACAGAUGCUUCCCCCUCACCCACCCUGGGUUCACUACAAAACAUUUAUAACGUGAAACACAUACAAAUAAAUAUACAUAUGGAUAACGUAGGAAUGCUAAGAAGUACUGUGUUAACAACUUCGUAGGGCUCCCUAGGUCAGUCAGUGAGGGUUUCCUAAAGGAAAAGAGUGUCAGUAUGAUGGUAGUGGAGGGUCAGAGGGUAGAGUUUGUGCAAAGGUACAGAAGUUGGGAUAAAUAUGUCAUUUCAGUAACCAAUUAGCUUGAUUAGAGGAAAUAUCUAACAGAGCUGGUUAGAGAGAAUAAACAGCCACCUGGGAGUCUGAAGCCUCAGGAUCCCAAGUUCAAAGCCAGCCUCAGCAACCUGUCUGUAAACAAAAAGUGUAAGUAAGAGAAGGCUCCUGAGGGCACAGCUCAGGUUCAGCACUUCCUAAGCAUGUUUAAGAACCUAGCUUAAUCUCCAGGGCAUGUGCACGGGCUCGCAUGUGUGCCUGUGUGUGUGUGUGUGUGUGUGUGUGUGUGUGUAACAGUAGAGAGAGCAAUUCGGUAAAAGAAAAUGUAAUGCUAGAACUGGUCCUUUAAGCAAAAUGAACAACUUAUGUUUUCUUAGGUAAGGGUGUGUGGCGACAGGUCCGGUACCCACUCCACUGCUUUCUACGUUCUGUAGUUAAGGAAAAGAACUAGCAAUGAAAAAGGCCAGCAAGCCUUGCCUAAGCAUGGCACUCUAGAGAUGUGGGGCCCAUGUGCGGGGAUCCUAAGGAAUGAUGCUCAAGGUUGUACACACAUAAUAAAUAAAAAGGAGCUGGCAACGAGACAGUGCAGAGGCACUCAGCUUCUAUAGGAACUCUUAUCAUAUGACACACAGGUUUCCAAGGCAAGGAAAUACACGCAAUGAAAUCACUAUGUAUAGAUCUAUCACCCAAAGGCUACUCAGACCCUUAAUUCUAAAUGUUAUAUCAGAAUAUCCUUCACCUUAGCAACUAAAAAUUGGGUGAGGAACAGACACAUGUAUUUAUUCCUUUCUCUCUUUUCUUUUUGGCUUUUUUAGACAGAUGGCCUAGGGAAACUUAUGUAGCCCAGACUGACUCCAAAACUCCUGGCAAUCCUUUUGCCAAAAGUCCUGAGUGCUGAAAUUAUGGGUAUGUGCCAUAACACCUAGCAAAUAGAUGUUGACAGCAAGUUGUUUGCCUUUUAGCUACUGUGACAAUCAACUUUGAUUCUAACAUUUUAGAAACUAGAGGGUGAAAGAGCCAUAAUCUACGCGGAAUGCUCAUGUCCCUAAAGGAGGACAGGUCGGAAAGGGCCCAAUUUUCUCCUCAUGUUUUAAGUGGAAGGGUGAAACAUCGCACACUGAAAAGAGGCUGCUCUCAGCCUAAGCAACGAGGAUCUCCUUCGUGGCGCUGGCUGACCUGAAGCUGCUCCCCGAGAGGAAAGAGAAAGCGCUCACUCAGGCCCGGUGUUCAGCAGCAGCCAGAGUCAGGCCCUAUGUCAGAAACGUUCUGCUGAGGGGAGCACGGUCCUACUGAGGAGGUAAUUGACUGCUGGGGCCCAAUCUUGAUGCCAUUUGCCUGUAAAGGAGAAAGGCAGCAAUUCCUGCAUCAGAGCUGAAGAGAAUUCGAAGGAAGGACAGAGAUACAGGAGAACCCUUUAGUUAAAUUCUAAGAAUUGUGUCCUCUAGACAAACUGUUGAAAGAGUGAGAUGACUGGUUAUGAGGAGAGCCAGUUGGUGAGGGUGGAGUUGGCUUGUUUCAAGAUGCACACAGAUUUCAUAGCUGUCUACAGAAUUCAGGUGUGACGGAGGGGGCGCUCAGCAGGGGAAAUACUUGCCAUAUAAGCAUGACGACCACAAUUAGAUCCCUAGAAACCAGACAGAAGCCAGACGGGCAUAGCAGCUCACCUACAAUCCCAGUCCUUAGAAGCAAAGAUACAGGGAGUCCCCAGAGCAAACCUGCCUCAGUGUGUAAGGUGAACAGCAAUG